AAAAAAUAUCAACAAUUUCUAUACCGAAAUUAAUUUUAACUAAUUUUUAUUUGAGUUGCUAUUGAAAAUCAAAAUUAGGUUGCUGAUUGACUCCCAAAAAUAAGUACAAUGUAACAUUUUAAAGCUGAUCGUUUCUUAAACAGUUAAAAACAAUUUCUGUUGAAAAGUCAACAGGUAGGUACUUUUCAAAAUAAUGAAUAUUGUAUAAUAUAAUAAUCACUUUUGCAUAUAAAAAAUUAUUAAAAUAAAAACUUGAAUCUCGUAAUAUAUACUUUAAACUUUCAAGUAGGUGAUUGGAGAAUUUUAGAGGUAAACUCACAUGUAUUUACAACGUACAUACAAAUAAAUUAUUGAAAACCAAACUAAUUUUUUUUUUUUUUGAAUUUUUUAGGAGUUUAAUUUGUUUGUAUUUAAAAUAGGAUCAAAUAAAGUACCUAUAUAAUAUAGGAAAUAUACUUACCUAAAAAUCAGUGGCGCACAAUUUUUACACAGGUGUCUAAAAUAUAAAUAUCUAAGUACCCAACCACUUCACCAGUCAAAUAUGAGUUUAGGCAUAAUAAAACUAAAUUACAAAUUAAUACAAUUAAUAUUAAACAAAUAUACAUAAAAUUAACAUCUAAACUCACCUGGCACCAGGCACCCACCAAUUUUCUGAAGUCGACACCCUAGACCUUACCGGUGUGCGCCACUACUAAUAAUACCUAACUAAUAGAGAACAUAAAUGCAUACAAAGUAUAACACUAUGAUAAAUGAGUAUUUAAGAGAAUACAGAUUUAGAUUAUGAUUCUAAUGGUUAUUGCGGGAAUACAAAUAACAAACCAUAAAAAUGGUAUUUUUUAGGAAUUGUGAAAAUUGCAUCUACUUAUAGGACACACAAGCCACCCACACUAUUAUUAUAGUCACUAGACACUAAUAAUAUAUUCAAAUCUAUAUAUAGAUAAAAUCCAAAUACCACGGAGUCACUGAUCACUGUAUCUCAAAAAAUACUUAACGUACAAACUUGAAAUUUGGAAUAGUGACUCCUCUAAUAUUUUCACCGUGGAUUUUUGAAAAUUCAAUCCCUAAGAUUGUAUAAUAGGGGUUUUUAGGUAUAUUCGAUACGAAUAUCUAAUUGCUUAUUUAUUUAUUUUUAUUUAUUCAAGAGUUACCUUGGUGUUACAGAAAAGAAAACUAUUAUAAUAAUUAUUACUAUUAUUUGCACUAUUAAAAUGUCACAAAAGAACACAUUUAGUACACCGAAGGUGGACUAACCACUUUCCACCUAUUCGUUUUCAUUCAAUUCUAACACUGCCAAAACCAAAAAUUAUUAUGGGUAGAUUAUUAAUAAUACUAAUUGGCAGGGACAGCUAUUUAAUAUACAAUAAUAAUGACUAAAUACUAAUAUUUAGAAAAUUAUUUUUAAUUUACAGUUACGCGCAUUAAGAAACGUGUCUAGAUUUAGAUUCCCGACUUUUAAGGUUUUUUUUUUACAAUUGCCACCUUUGCGGGUUCUGUAUGUGAAAAUGAAUUUUGAUUAAGUCUACCGGAUUACCGUCAUCGGAUCGGGAGGUCAAGAAUCCCAUUUUCCGAACCAGAAUUCAAUCGGAACUAUCGGGCCCGUGUAAUCGUACACUAAAAUUACCUAUAGUAAGUAAUAGUAUUAUGAUAACCUUAAAUAAUAUCAUAUUAUAUAUUAUUGAAUUUUCACCGAGUACAGACAGGUAAGACGCGUUCUUAUCAAUAAUUUUGUAUUAUUUUAUUAUAUCAGCUGUUAUAUUCCCG
rnacentral:lncRNA from 1 species